GAUGAACGCUGGCGGCGUGCCUAAUACAUGCAAGUCGAGCGAACAGACGAGGAGCUUGCUCCUCUGACGUUAGCGGCGGACGGGUGAGUAACACGUGGAUAACCUACCUAUAAGACUGGGAUAACUUCGGGAAACCGGCGCUAAUACCGGAUAAUAUAUUGAACCGCAUGGUUCAAUAGUGAAAGACGGUUUUGCUGUCACUUAUAGAUGGAUCCGCUCCGCAUUAACUAGUUGGUAAGGUAACGGCGUACCAAGGCAACCAUGCGUAGCCGAACUGAGAGGGUGAUCGGCCACACUGGAACUGAGACACGGUCCAGAGUCCUACGGGAGGCAGCAGUAGGGAAUCUUCCGCAAUGGGCGAAAGCCUGACGGAGCAACGCCGCGUGAGUGAUGAAGGUCUUCGGAUCGUAAAACUCUGUUAUUAGGGAAGAACAAAUGUGUAAGUAACUAUGCACGUCUUGACGGUACCUAAUCAGAAAGCCACGGCUAACUACGUG
rnacentral:rRNA from 1 species